AGCGAACGCUUUCUUCAGGCCUAACACAUGCAAGUCGAACGAACCUUUCGGGGUUAGUGGCGGACGGGUGAGUAACACGUGGGAACGUGCCUUUAGGUUCGGAAUAACUCAGGGAAACUUGUGCUAAUACCGAAUGUGCCCUUCGGGGGAAAGAUUAAUCGCCUUUAGAGCGGCCCGCGUCUGAUUAGCUAGUUGGUUGAGGUAAUGGCUCACCAAGGCGACGAUCAGUAGCUGGUCUGAGAGGAUGAUCAGCCACAUUGGGACUGAGACACGGCCCAAACUCCUACGGGAGGCAGCAGUGGGGAAUCUUGCGCAAUGGGCGAAAGCCUGACGCAGCCAUGCCGCGUGAAUGAUGAAGGUCUUAGGAUUGUAAAAUUCUUUCACCGGGGACGAUAAUGACGGUACCCGGAGAAGAAGCCCCGGCUAACUUCGUG
rnacentral:rRNA from 1 species